AAAUUGAAGAGUUUGAUCAUGGCUCAGAUUGAACGCUGGCGGCAGGCCUAACACAUGCAAGUCGAACGGUAACAGGAAGCAGCUUGCUGCUUCGCUGACGAGUGGCGGACGGGUGAGUAAUGUCUGGGAAACUGCCUGAUGGAGGGGGAUAACUACUGGAAACGGUGGCUAAUACCGCAUAACGUCGCAAGACCAAAGAGGGGGAUCUUCGGGCCUCUUGCCAUCAGAUGUGCCCAGAUGGGAUUAGCUAGUUGGUGAGGUAACGGCUCACCAAGGCGACGAUCCCUAGCUGGUCUGAGAGGAUGACCAGCCACACUGGAACUGAGACACGGUCCAGACUCCUACGGGAGGCAGCAGUGGGGAAUAUUGCACAAUGGGCGCAAGCCUGAUGCAGCCAUGCCGCGUGUAUGAAGAAGGCCUU
rnacentral:rRNA from 1 species